AUUGAACGCUGGCGGCAUGCCUUACACAUGCAAGUCGAACGGCAGCACGGGUGCUUGCACCUGGUGGCGAGUGGCGAACGGGUGAGUAAAGUUUCGGAACGUGCCUGGUAGUGGGGGCUAACUAGUCGAAAGACUAGCUAAUACUGCAUACGAUCUAAGGAUGAAUGCAGGGGACCUUCGGGCCUUGUGCUAUCAGAACGGCCGAUAUCUGAUUAGCUAGUUGGUGGGGUAAAAGCCCACCAAGGCGACGAUCAGUAGCUGGUCUGAGAGGACGACCAGCCACACUGGAACUGAGACACGGUCCAGACUCCUACGGGAGGCAGCAGUGGGGAAUUUUGGACAAUGGGGGCAACCCUGAUCCGGCAAUGCCGCGUGAGUGAAGAAGGCCCUCGGGUUGUAAAGCUCUUUUGUCAGGGAAGAAAAGGCUGUGGCUAAUAUCCACAGCUGCUGACGGUACCUGAAGAAUAAGCACCGGCUAACUACGUGCCAGCAGCCGCCGCAG
rnacentral:rRNA from 1 species